rnacentral:rRNA from 1 species
GACGAACGCUGGCGGCGUGCUUAACACAUGCAAGUCGAACGAUGAAGGAGAGCUUGCUCUCCGGAUUAGUGGCGAACGGGUGAGUAACACGUGACUAACCUGCCCCUUUCUCUGGGAUAACGCUCCGAGAGGAGUGCUAAUACCGGAUACGAACUCUGAACACAUGUUCGGAGUUGGAAAGUUUUUCGGAAGGGGAUGGAGUCGCGGCCUAUCAGCUUGUUGGUGAGGUAAAGGCUCACCAAGGCGACGACGGGUAGCCGGCCUGAGCGGGCGAACGGCCACACUGGGACUGAGACACGGCCCAGACUCCUACGGGAGGCAUCAGUGGGGAAUAUUGCAACAUGGGCGAAAGCCUGAUGCAGCGACGCCGCGUGAGGGAUGAAGGUCUUCGGAUUGUAAACCUCUUUCAGUAGGGACGAAGCGAAAGUGACGGUACCUAAAGAAGAAGCACCGGCUAACUACGUGCCAGCCGCCGCAGUAA